UACGAGAGGCCCAAACGUUAUUCGGAAUUACUGGGCUUAAAGAGUUCGUAGGCGGCAUUGCAAGUAGGGUGUGAAAGCCCUCGGCUCAACCGAGGAAUUGCGCUCUAAACUGCAGUGCUUGAGGAACCUAGAGGUGAGCAGAACAAAUGGUGGAGCGGUGAAAUGCGUUGAUAUCAUCUGGAAUACCGGAGGCGAAGGCGGCUCACUGGGAGUUGUCUGACGCUGAGGAACGAAAGCCAGGGUAGCGAACGGG
rnacentral:rRNA from 1 species